GUUCGCUUUGGCAGCACAUAUACUAAAAUUGGAACGAUACUGGGAAGAUUUGCACAGUUCCUUUGCAAGGGUGACAUGAAAAUUUGUAAAGCGUUCCAUUAAAAA